AACACAACUGGGCAAACCACGCGAAAGCGUGGGACGCAAAGUCACCGGUCUAAGGAGUGCAUACUCUACGAUAGCGGGAUUGCUGGC
rfam:Aestuariibacter aggregatus strain CGMCC 1.8995 genome assembly, contig: Ga0079874_103